AUUUUUGCUUCGUUUCAUGUUUACUGUUUCGAAGAAUACUCGAUGUUAGGAAUGACCCCUGCAUCAUCAAAAUAUAGCAAUGCGGCAAACAAACAGCAAUAACAACAGACCCAGCUGACAUAUCAAAAACAAAAACCAACUCCUGACCACAUUGCGUGCAAUGAUGAUUUUACACUAAUGAUCGCCCGGCUUUAACUCAUUAUAAAUUUAUACACACACACACACACACACACACACACACACACACAUACACACACAUACAAGUACACAUUCAUAUGAACGUCCGUCGACAGAUGUCUUUGACCCGUGUGCAACACCGAAAUUUGAAGUAGCUCACUGUCGGAUCUAUAUAUAGCGUACGAAUACAUUGGAAGAGGUCUCUGUUUGAAGAAUCUCUAUUACAAUGGCGGAGGAUAUAAAUGAUCAUUUACAACAUCUUUACCAAUAUGCUUAUGAAUACUGCAAUGCCACCGUGUUGUCUCAUCCUCCACCUGAAGAUGGGGAAGUGUACUGCAGCACCAGUUUCGAUGGUUGGGGUUGCUGGAAUUACACACAGGCUGGCCAUAUGGCCGAAAUCUCUUGUCCUGUCCAUAUUCCGGUCUUCCAAGGAAAAGGU